CCUACGGGAGGCAGCAGUCGAGAAUCAUUCACAAUGGGGGAAACCCUGAUGGGGCGACGCCGCGUGGGGGAAUGAAGGUCUUCGGAUUGUAAACCCCUGUCAUGUGGGAGCAAAUUAAAAAGAUAGUACCACAAGAGGAAGAGACGGCUAACUCUGUGCCAGCAGCCGCGGUAAUACAGAGGUCUCAAGCGUUGUUCGGAAUCACUGGGCGUAAAGCGUGCGUAGGCUGUUUCGUAAGUCGUGUGUGAAAGGCGCGGGCUCAACCCGCGGACGGCACAUGAUACUGCGAGACUAGAGUAAUGGAGGGGGAACCGGAAUUCGCGGUGUAGCAGUGAAAUGCGUAGAUAUCGAGAGGAACACUCGUGGCGAAGGCGGGUUCCUGGACAUUAACUGACGCUGAGGCACGAAGGCCAGGGGAGCGAAAAGGAUUAGAUACCCUUGUAGUC
rnacentral:rRNA from 1 species